AGCAGUGAGGAAUAUUGGUCAAUAGCCUAACGGCUGAACCAGCAAUUUGGGGGAAUGUAUAGCGAAAGCUAGUUGUAUUAACUAUUAGUUAAUGCAAAAUCGAUUAUGUCGAAUAAAGUUCUAGGUAGAAUAAUGAUUAUGACAAUUUUCUACCUAUAUGUCUUGACCAAACCUCGUGCCAGCAGUCGCGGUAAUACGUGGAAGACUAGUGUUAUUCAUCUUUAAUAGGUUUAAAGGGUACCUAGACGGUUUUUCUAGCCCAAAAUAGGGUACAGAUUUACUAGAGUUUUAUGUGAGGAGGGGAGUACUUAUGGAGUUAGAGAUGAAAUUCUGUCAUACUAUAAGGAAACUGGUGGCGGCGUAAGCAACCUUCUAAGUAUAAACUGACGUUGAGGGACGAAGGCUUGGGUAGCAAAUAGGAUUAGAUACCCUAGUAGUCCAAGCAGACAAUCCUGAAUGCCAUAGAUUAGAUUAUUUUUGGUCUAUAAAUGAAAGUGUAAGCAUUCCACCUCAAGAGUAAUGUGGCAACACAGGAACUGAAAUCAUUAGACCGUUUCUGAAACCAGUAGUGAAGUAUGUUAUUUAAUUCGAUGAUCCGCGAAAAACCUCACCACAAUUUGAAUAUUAUUAAAAUAAUACAAGCGUUGCACGGCUGUCUUCAGUUAAUGUCGUGAGAUUUUGGUUAAUUCCAUUAAAUUAACGUAAACCCUUACUUUAUUUAUUUUUUUUUAUAAAGUAGUUCGCCACUAUAUUGGAUAUGAUAACAGGGACUAAGACAAGUCAUCAUGACCUAAAUAUUGUGGGCUAUAGACGUGCCACAUA
rnacentral:rRNA from 1 species